rnacentral:rRNA from 1 species
GACAGAGGGUGCAAACGUUGUUCGGAAUUACUGGGCGUAAAGCGAGUGUAGGCGGUUCGAUAAGUCGGAUGUGAAAGCCCGGCUCAACCCGGAAGUGCACUCGAUACUGUCGAGCUAGAGUAUCGGAGAGGUUGGUGGAAUUCUCGUGUAGAGGUGAAAUUCGUAGAUAUCGAGAGGAACACCGGUGCGAAGGCGGCCACUGGACGAAUACUGACGCUGAGACUCGAAAGCGUGGGAGCAA